GGUUAAGCGACUAAGCGUACACGGUGGAUGCCCUGGCAGUCAGAGGCGAUGAAGGGCGUGCUAAUCUGCGAUAAGCGCCGGUAAGGUGAUAUGAACCGUUAUAACCGGCGAUACCCGAAUGGGGAAACCCAGUGUGACUCGUCACACUAUCAUUAACUGAAUCCAUAGGUUAAUGAGGCGAACCGGGGGAACUGAAACAUCUAAGUACCCCGAGGAAAAGAAAUCAACCGAGAUUCCCCCAGUAGCGGCGAGCGAACGGGGAGGAGCCCAGAGCCUGAAUCAGCAUGUGUGUUAGUGGAAGCGUCUGGAAAGGCGCGCGAUACAGGGUGACAGCCCCGUACACAAAAGCGCAUGUGCUGUGAGCUCGAUGAGUAGGGCGGGACACGUGGUAUCCUGUCUGAAUAUGGGGGGACCAUCCUCCAAGGCUAAAUACUCCUGACUGACCGAUAGUGAACCAGUACCGUGAGGGAAAGGCGAAAAGAACCCCGGCGAGGGGAGUGAAAAAGAACCUGAAACCGUGUACGUACAAGCAGUGGGAGCCCCACCACUAAGCCAGUGGUGAACUCCACAUACGCAUCCUUUGCUGAGGAUACGGUUAACGGAGCGCAAGCGACGUUCAACCGCAAAAGAAGCAGAGGGGGCUUAGUGGUGGGGUGACUGCGUACCUUUUGUAUAAUGGGUCAGCGACUUAUAUUCUGUAGCAAGGUUAACCGAAUAGGGGAGCCGGAGGGAAACCGAGUCUUAAUCGGGCGUUAAGUUGCAGGGUAUAGACCCGAAACCCGGUGAUCUAGCCAUGGGCAGGUUGAAGGUUGGGUAACACUAACUGGAGGACCGAACCGACUAAUGUUGAAAAAUUAGCGGAUGACCUGUGGCU
rnacentral:rRNA from 1 species